AUUCCAGCUCCAAUAGCGUAUAUUUAAGUUGUUGCAGUUAAAAAGCUCGUAGUUGGAUUUCGGGUGAGGAUGACCGGUCUGCCGUUGCGGUACGCACUGGACGUUUUCAUCUUGUUGUCGGGGACGCGCUUCUGGGCUUCACUGUUCGGGACGCGGAGUCGGCGCUGUUACUUUGAAAAAAUUAGAGUGUUCAAAGCAGGCAAUCGCUCUGAAUACAUUAGCAUGGAAUAACGCUAUAGGACUCUGGUCCUAUUGUGUUGGUCUUCGGGACCGGAGUAAUGAUUAAGAGGGACAGUUGGGGGCAUUCGUAUUUCAUUGUCAGAGGUGAAAUUCUUGGAUUUAUGAAAGACGAACUUCUGCGAAAGCAUUUGACAAGGAUGUCUUCAUUA
rnacentral:rRNA from 1 species